rnacentral:snoRNA from 2 species
CUGUUCUAAGGAUUGCACUUGGAGAGUUUCCAGUACUCUGCCAGUCUCAGCUAUGGGAGGGAGAGUCAGGCAGGGGCAUAUCCAUUCCAUUCCUAGCUUGAGCAAUGGCUAGCAAGUGGAAUGCAAUCUGCUACAAGU